rnacentral:rRNA from 1 species
GGGUUGUGAGGUUAAGCGACUAAGCGUACACGGUGGAUGCCCUGGCAGUCAGAGGCGAUGAAGGACGUGCUAAUCUGCGAUAAGCGUCGGUAAGGUGAUAUGAACCGUUAUAACCGGCGAUUUCCGAAUGGGGAAACCCAGUGUGUUUCGACACACUAUCAUUAACUGAAUCCAUAGGUUAAUGAGGCGAACCGGGGGAACUGAAACAUCUAAGUACCCCGAGGAAAAGAAAUCAACCGAGAUUCCCCCAGUAGCGGCGAGCGAACGGGGAGCAGCCCAGAGCCUGAAUCAGUGUGUGUGUUAGUGGAAGCGUCUGGAAAGGCGCGCGAUACAGGGUGACAGCCCCGUACACAAAAAUGCACAUACUGUGAGCUCGAUGAGUAGGGCGGGACACGUGGUAUCCUGUCUGAAUAUGGGGGGACCAUCCUCCAAGGCUAAAUACUCCUGACUGACCGAUAGUGAACCAGUACCGUGAGGGAAAGGCGAAAAGAACCCCGGCGAGGGGAGUGAAAAAGAACCUGAAACCGUGUACGUACAAGCAGUGGGAGCACAGAGCAAUCUGUGUGACUGCGUACCUUUUGUAUAAUGGGUCAGCGACUUAUAUUCUGUAGCAAGGUUAACCGAAUAGGGGAGCCGAAGGGAAACCGAGUCUUAACUGGGCGUUAAGUUGCAGGGUAUAGACCCGAAACCCGGUGAUCUAGCCAUGGGCAGGUUGAAGGUUGGGUAACACUAACUGGAGGACCGAACCGACUAAUGUUGAAAAAUUAGCGGAUGACUUGUGGCUGGGGGUGAAAGGCCAAUCAAACCGGGAGAUAGCUGGUUCUCCCCGAAAGCUAUUUAGGUAGCGCCUCGUGAAUUCAUCUCCGGGGGUAGAGCACUGUUUCGGCAAGGGGGUCAUCCCGACUUACCAACCCGAUGCAAACUGCGAAUACCGGAGAAUGUUAUCACGGGAGACACACGGCGGGUGCUAACGUCCGUCGUGAAGAGGGAAACAACCCAGACCGCCAGCUAAGGUCCCAAAGUCAUGGUUAAGUGGGAAACGAUGUGGGAAGGCCCAGACAGCCAGGAUGUUGGCUUAGAAGCAGCCAUCAUUUAAAGAAAGCGUAAUAGCUCACUGGUCGAGUCGGCCUGCGCGGAAGAUGUAACGGGGCUAAACCAUGCACCGAAGCUGCGGCAGCGACGCUUAUGCGUUGUUGGGUAGGGGAGCGUUCUGUAAGCCUGCGAAGGUGUGCUGUGAGGCAUGCUGGAGGUAUCAGAAGUGCGAAUGCUGACAUAAGUAACGAUAAAGCGGGUGAAAAGCCCGCUCGCCGGAAGACCAAGGGUUCCUGUCCAACGUUAAUCGGGGCAGGGUGAGUCGACCCCUAAGGCGAGGCCGAAAGGCGUAGUCGAUGGGAAACAGGUUAAUAUUCCUGUACUUGGUGUUACUGCGAAGGGGGACGGAGAAGGCUAUGUUGGCCGGGCGACGGUUGUCCCGGUUUAAGCGUGUAGGCUGGUUUUCCAGGCAAAUCCGGAAAAUCAAGGCUGAGGCGUGAUGACGAGGCACUACGGUGCUGAAGCAACAAAUGCCCUGCUUCCAGGAAAAGCCUCUAAGCAUCAGGUAACAUCAAAUCGUACCCCAAACCGACACAGGUGGUCAGGUAGAGAAUACCAAGGCGCUUGAGAGAACUCGGGUGAAGGAACUAGGCAAAAUGGUGCCGUAACUUCGGGAGAAGGCACGCUGAUAUGUAGGUGAAGUCCCUCGCGGAUGGAGCUGAAAUCAGUCGAAGAUACCAGCUGGCUGCAACUGUUUAUUAAAAACACAGCACUGUGCAAACACGAAAGUGGACGUAUACGGUGUGACGCCUGCCCGGUGCCGGAAGGUUAAUUGAUGGGGUCAGCGCAAGCGAAGCUCUUGAUCGAAGCCCCGGUAAACGGCGGCCGUAACUAUAACGGUCCUAAGGUAGCGAAAUUCCUUGUCGGGUAAGUUCCGACCUGCACGAAUGGCGUAAUGAUGGCCAGGCUGUCUCCACCCGAGACUCAGUGAAAUUGAACUCGCUGUGAAGAUGCAGUGUACCCGCGGCAAGACGGAAAGACCCCGUGAACCUUUACUAUAGCUUGACACUGAACAUUGAGCCUUGAUGUGUAGGAUAGGUGGGAGGCUUAGAAGUGUGGACGCCAGUCUGCAUGGAGCCGACCUUGAAAUACCACCCUUUAAUGUUUGAUGUUCUAACGUUGACCCGUGAUCCGGGUUGCGGACAGUGUCUGGUGGGUAGUUUGACUGGGGCGGUCUCCUCCUAAAGAGUAACGGAGGAGCACGAAGGUUGGCUAAUCCUGGUCGGACAUCAGGAGGUUAGUGCAAUGGCAUAAGCCAGCUUGACUGCGAGCGUGACGGCGCGAGCAGGUGCGAAAGCAGGUCAUAGUGAUCCGGUGGUUCUGAAUGGAAGGGCCAUCGCUCAACGGAUAAAAGGUACUCCGGGGAUAACAGGCUGAUACCGCCCAAGAGUUCAUAUCGACGGCGGUGUUUGGCACCUCGAUGUCGGCUCAUCACAUCCUGGGGCUGAAGUAGGUCCCAAGGGUAUGGCUGUUCGCCAUUUAAAGUGGUACGCGAGCUGGGUUUAGAACGUCGUGAGACAGUUCGGUCCCUAUCUGCCGUGGGCGCUGGAGAAUUGAGGGGGGCUGCUCCUAGUACGAGAGGACCGGAGUGGACGCAUCACUGGUGUUCGGGUUGUCAUGCCAAUGGCACUGCCCGGUAGCUAAAUGCGGAAGAGAUAAGUGCUGAAAGCAUCUAAGCACGAAACUUGCCCCGAGAUGAGUUCUCCCUGACUCCUUGAGAGUCCUGAAGGAACGUUGAAGACGACGACGUUGAUAGGCCGGGUGUGUAAGCGCAGCGAUGCGUUGAGCUAACCGGUACUAAUGAACCGUGAGGCUUAACCUUACAACGCCGAAGGUGUUU